rnacentral:rRNA from 1 species
GUUUGAUCCUGGCUCAGAAUGAACGCUGGCGGCGUGCCUAACACAUGCAAGUCGAACGGGAAAUCCGGGAGCAAUCCCGGAGAGUAGAGUGGCGCACGGGUGAGUAACAUGUGGGUAAUCUGCCUCUGUAUCGGGGAUAACGUUGCGAAAGCGACGCUAAUACCGGAUGAUAUUUUUCGGGUUUCGGCUCGGGGAAUCAAAGACAGCCUCUGUAUAUCCGGCUGUCGCACGGAGAUGAGCCCGCAUACCAUUAGCUAGUCGGCGGGGUAACGGCCCACCGAGGCGACGAUGGUUAGCUGAUCUGAGAGGAUGAUCAGCCACACCGGAACUGACACACGGUCCGGACUCCUACGGGAGGCAGCAGUGAGGAAUUUUGCGCAAUGGGCGGAAGCCUGACGCAGCAACGCCGCGUGAGUGAUG